rnacentral:misc_RNA from 1 species
UUCAAACACCCAUCCUACUGUAGCCACAAGUCCCAUCAGAGACAACACAGGCUCUUUAAAGAAGGAAGAAUGGCUAUAAUAGUGUCACCUUUUUUCCUCCAACUCUAUUAUGACUUAUAACCCAGGCUGCUGCUUAAAAUUGAAAAGGAUCCAACAAAUGAUGAAUGCAGUCUGAGAAGGUCAUACUCGAAACAUAUUCAAUUAUCAUUUCACUCCUCGUCAUCAUCUUCCUCCUCAUCAUCCUCAUCUUCAACAUCAUCUACACCCUUCUCCUCUUCAUCAUCUUCAUCUUCAUCAUCGUCAAAAUCCUCUUCAUCAGCCUCAUUGUUAAAAUACUUCAAAGGAUUGGGCCAAAGAUCUUCCUUUAUUAUCUCAGCCACCUCAUCAGUGA